UUGCUUACUCAACCAAAUGCACCAUUGCUAAACUUGUGUGCCCUUGCAGAGCGCGCGAGGCAUAUUUCACUUUGAACGCACGCUACGUUCUCAGGGUACGUUGUUCAUAGUUCUACACUGGCUACAAUGUAACUACUGACAAAACUCCCCAGUCUCCAAUGGCUGUUCAAAAAUGUUAAUGUUUCUCUACUGCGUUUAAACAGUAAACAAAUGGCCAAAGUUAGCACGCGCGGCUAGCCAGCAAGCCUGUCAGCUAACCUCGCAAGGUCAGACCGUUUCCAAACAAUGUAGAAAACGUUGCAAUAACACUUCAACGAUACAAUAAUUUAUCGGUGUAUCGACACUAUAUUGCAGUAACCAUACAGGAUUACGAACGUUCUAAAAUUAAUUUCCGUGAAUCGUGACGUACUACAAAAAUGAUAGUGGAAUCAACGUUACAUGAUUAUGUUUAUUCCACUAUACGCCACACACGUACCAUGGAUUCUUCAGCUGACUGGUUUGCUCGCGCUUCUAGAUAUUAUGAUAAAUGCAAUAUGGCAACUUACUUUGAGGAUAACCAGGGGGUCGGUUUGAGCUUCAAGUCGUUGGUUUUAUUCUCAAUUUGCUGCGUGGGACCUGAAAUGGAAAGAGAAUAGCAAGAUUGCACUGAUCACAACAUGCAUGCUUGUCAUUAAAAUAUGCUUUUAAAUCCGACAGAUCUAAUCGAGGGCCUAGGUUCAAUUAAACACAGUUCCGUGCUCAUUAUAUAGGUUUUGAAAAGUGCACUACUGCUUUAUUGACAUGAUUCGAAUGCUACUAUCGAUAAUAACAAUAUAGGCAAUACAUAAUUGGAUUGAAGAGAAACCAUAAUUACAUAACGGAUGCUCACCUGUCCUGCGCUGUGUAACAAGUUUACUGGGACCUCUAGUAAUAGUGUACAUCAUGUGAAAGCCGAGAACUUCAGUUUUGCGAAUGAAAAAUAAGUGGGUUAUCUUCAACAAGUCGAGAGUGGUAGCCUACAAUGUGUCGACUCCAAAUACCGUGGUGGUCUUUAAAUCGAUCCCCUUGAGCAAUCCCCUUUUUGGUCGAGUUCUCUUGACGCAGCCACGUUGGGAAAAUUAUAGCGCCUGUGUUUCCAAGUCAGCUGCUCAGUGCUACGUAGCCUACGUCUCCGGUUCGGUUAAGAGAUCUCGGUACUGCUACUGCAAUGUGUUCCUUGUCCUGUGCUGUGAUCGACGCCGCUACGAAUAAGCAUAUGUUUGGUUAAAGAGCCAGUCUGCUAGUGCUUCAAGGGUAUAGCCAAUAGGUCAACCAAGGUGAUUCAAUACGGAUAUGGAAUUCAAAUGUAUGUUGGAGAAGAAACUCCUACCCUUCCGAUCACUGUUUUUGAAUAGAAAAUACAGUUAGUUAUAUUGAUUAAAUUCCCAUUUGUGAGAGGCAACCCUAUCCUACAGUACGCGUACAAACAGUGACACCGCACACAUGAUUUCAUCAUAACAGUCAUGGGCACCCCGGUCAUGUCACUACACACCCCCAACCGUCGCGGUUUUCGAGGAGGAGCGCCCUUCAGAACGCACUACUGCUGACCCGUAAUCCGAGCACGUGGAGAUUUGAAGACUAUUCACGAUGAUCGGGUUUAAAAUUUGGAAUGAAAAUUGGGAAGUUAAAUCAGAGAUUGCUGAAGUCCGUUUUUUUACCAGCACAAAUGUUCUCUGAUUUAACACGAGUCAUUAUGCAAACACAGCCUUAGGCUUUUUAGUAUAGGGAGCCUAAGGCUCCCGAGUGGCGCAAUCUAAGGCACUGCAUCUCAGUGCAAGAGACGUCACUACAGUCCCUGGUUUGAUUCCAGUCUGUAUCACAUCUUGCUGUGGUUUGGAGUCCCAUAGGGUGGCACACAGUUGGCCCAGCAUUGGCUGGGGUAGGCCAUCAUUGUAAAUAAGAAUUAGCUCUUAACUGACUUGCAUAGUUCAAUUAAUAAUAUAUAUAUUUGCAUAAGGCAUGCAUUUUGGUUGUUGUGGAAGAGCCUAGUAUGUAUGUUCAACAUACAUACUGGGAGUCAGAACAUAUGUAAGACGGGCAAGACAUGUUUGGUAACGGAAGCUCGCUGGUGACGAGAGGAGGCUCAGACAGGCUUAACCAAGGACCUCAGCCACCCGAGCCAGGGCCUGUUCACCCCCCUACCUUCGAGAAGACAGAGACACUACAGGCGCGUCAAAGCUGUGACCGAGAGAUUGAAACCACUAGCCGGCCUCCGCCCAGUACCCUGCCCUGAACUUUACUCACUGUUACUAGCCGGGCUCCCACCAGAGUCAGAUGACCUCGUGCAAUGGAGGCUGCUGAGGGGAGGACGGCAACAUCAUAAUGGCUGGCACUGAGCGAAUGUAAUGACAUCAAACACAUGGAAACAACGGGUUUGAUGUUGUUGAUACCUUUCCACUCCAGCUAUUACCACGUGCCCAUCCUCCACAAUUACGGUGCCGCCACCAACCCCAAAAUGAACAUGGAUACCAUUGUUGUCUCUGUGUCCAGUAUGAAGGAAGUUAGAGCUAGUUUCGUGAGCCAAUGCUAACUAGCGUUAGCGCAAUGACUGGGAGUCUAUGGGUAUCUGCUAAAAUCCCAAAGUAUCCCUAUAACAGUGGUUAUUGAGGGUGUGUACACUUCAAACAGCUAACGAUGUGGGUAACCGUUGUGGCGUGUAGUAACAACAAAGCAACAGUACAUAAGGGCUAGAGCAGCAAAUAUUUUGUUUCAUCAGAAGAUACUUUGCUCCUUCAAGCAGAAUCAUGUCAUUAUAUAGGUCUAAAGUAGUGCACUAUAUAGGGAAUGUACAUAACCCCCUCAGGAGGUUGAAACUAUUACAGCUGCACCAUCUUGACUUGUUGCAUCACUGCUUGGUAUGGCAACUGCACCGCCCUCAAUCGCAUGGCGCUACAGAGGUUGGUAUGGACAGCCCAGUACAUCACUGGGGCCGAGCGCCCUGCCAUCCAGGACCUCUAUAUCUGGCAAUGUGAAAGGAAGGCAAUUAUCUUCGUCAAUUAUCUUGAAAAAUAACGUAUACUUUAAAAACAGGAAGUCAACUAAUCCUCUGUCGUUAACACAAUGGAAAGGUCACAUGCUUUAUUAUCCAAAUGUUGAAAGUAGGUGAGGUGACAGAGAGAAACAAAAUGGUGCAGUUUGAGGUCAUGUGGCGGAGAGCGAUGCGGGCGCUGGAGAUGGGUGUGUGAGCAAGUGGGUCUGGGCAGGUGUGAUGUUGUUGUUGUUGUUGUCAUUUGUGUGUGUGUGUGUUUUAUAUUGUAAAAAAUAAUGUACAAAAAAAAUAAAGACCCAGAAAAUCAUUAAAGACUCCAGCUAUCCAAGCCAUAGACUGUUCUCUCUUCUUCCACACGGCAAGUUGUACCGGUGUAUCAAGUCUGACACCAAGAGGCACCUGAACAGCUUCUAUCCCCAAGCCAUAACACUGCUG